rnacentral:rRNA from 1 species
UACGGAGGAUGCGAGCGUUAUCCGGAUUUAUUGGGUUUAAAGGGUGCGUAGGCGGUUUUUUAAGUUAGUGGUAAAAUAUUGGGGCUUCACCUCACUACGCCAUUAAUACUGUAGAGCUAGAGAACAGACGAGGUAGGCGGAAUAAGUUAAGUAGCGGUGAAAUGCAUAGAUAUCACGCAGAACCCCGAUUGCGAAGGCAGCAUACCGGUGCACAACUGACGCUCAGGCACGAAAGCGUGGGUAUCGAACAGG